rnacentral:rRNA from 1 species
GACGAACCGUGCGAACGUUGUUCGGAUUCACUGGGCUUAAAGGGCGCGUAGGCGGACCUGCAAGUCGGGGGUGAAAGCCCGAGGCUCAACCUCGGAACUGCCUUCGAUACUGCGGGUCUCGAGUCCGGGAGAGGUGAGUGGAAUUCCUAGUGUAGAGGUGAAAUUCGUAGAUAUUAGGAAGAACACCAGUGGCGAAGGCGGCUCACUGGCCCGGUACUGACGCUGAGGCGCGAAAGCGUGGGGAGCAAACAGG